UCCGGAAUAGCUCAAUGGUAGAGCAUUCGGCUGUUAACCGACAGGCUGUAGGUUCGAGUCCUACUUCCGGAG
rnacentral:tRNA from 1 species